UUAUUUUUCACUUGUUCGUUUCAAUCACCUGCCCCACGAUGUGUAACUCCUGCCUGUCUUUAGAUUUUAAUGUGAUGGUUGCUCGUAACCUUUUUUGGCAAUAUGGUACUUACUUAUUCACAAAUUUUGGUGUUUUCGACACAAUCUUGCAUAGAUUCUUGCUCUGUAGCCCUCACAGUUUUCUUACCGAAUCACAUCAGAUUGAAUAAAAGGGUUAAACUUAA